CCCGCGCAUCUCUCUCCCCCCUCCCGGCCAGCGCUCCCGGGCGCGCUUGCUCGCUCUCCGGCUACCCGACGAGUCCUCAACAAGUUGGAGGAAGGCAGGAACGCAGGGGUUAAGCUCGGGAAGCCGCAAUUACCAAGAUCGUGACCCUCCCACACAGUACAGUAACUUAUAUACUUACCUGGAAGAGCCCACUUUGCCGCUGGGCAAACACCCAUGGGGGCGGGGAGGGGUAGGAGAGGAGCGGGCCGGCUGGAGAGGGGCUCCUCCAAGCUGGCUGCAGCGCUGACGGGACCGGCACGCUCCGGUGGCCCCCAGACCAAGGGAGUCCAACCCGUCCUGUCCUGACACCCAGAGGUCUACAUGAGAGGUGGCCACUGAAGGAGGAGGUCUCAAGCAUCACAGGAGAUGAAGAGCUUGGAUGCAUGAGCUUAGGAGUCCCCGGAAGCUGCUUUGCAGGCACAGGGAGGCUGAGCAUGCAUGGCCUUGUGCCUACCCAGCUCUACCACCGGAAAAAUGACGAGAAAAGUUCCAUGCCUCAGGACUGGCAGAACACUAGUUUGGUGAAUUUCAGGAGAUACAGCUGCAACUGACUUCGCUUAAUAUUUUCUUCUGAGACAAUUUAUUUUAUUGUGUAUUUCUUGGUCCAGAAGGCCAGUAAUAUCUAAAGUGUACUUUGGCUGUUAAUCAGAUUACGUAUUUCCUCUGCAGGAACGAACACACUUCAGUAAUGAGUGAACAGAUCUUAGUUUGGUGAACUUUCAUGUUUUCCUGAAUGGAAAGUGCUAUACAAAUGUGAUUUUAUUUUUAUUAACUUUGCUAUUUAAAAAGUUCAUGUUGUUAUUUUAUUUAUUGAGCGUGGUAUCCAAGCACUUUGCCCUGUUCAGAGUGCUGCAUUUUUUGUUUUGUUUUAAAAAAGAA